rnacentral:lncRNA from 1 species
GGCCCCCACAAGUAUGAUGGUUGCUGCCUCCCAGGGCCAGGGAAGAAGAAAGAAGAGUUUCAGGCAUGCUGGCUUCUGCUUCAGAUGUUCAGCCAACAGACCAUUCAUGGAUUAGAAACCUGCCAGCUGGCUUAGAAGUCAUGGCAACACUGAGAAAAAUACAGGUACAGGGUGAUGACAUUUACAUUUUACUGGAAUCAAGGCGAAGAAAAAGAAAGGCAAAAGAGUGGUAAGGAUAUAAAACUGAAAAAGAAGAAAAUAACAAAAUGCAGGGAUAGACUGGAAAAAGGCUUACUUAAACUGCUCAUAUCACCCUGUGUGUGAACAUUGUGCAAAUGACAGUAGAGGCAGAAUAAAUGUUUAAAAGAAGAAAAGAAACAAAGAAAGAAAGUGCAUUCACCUUCACGCAUCUUCUUCAGCACUCUCAUAAAAUGAGCCAAAAUUAUAGGGAUGCUGAAUGUGUGAUAAUAAUAGAAGAGUGUGAUAUUUAUGAGAGAUGGAUGGUCUCAUUGUUUCAAAAGAGACCACAGUGCACUUUAACAGGACACAGGCAAUAAUUGUCGGAGUAGAAACAAUAACAAGAGUGGAGUGUACCUAUCAAGUAUGAUGAUGUUAUUUAAAGACACAAUGGGUUUCACUGACUAAAUUCACAGUACUCAGUUGGAAUUCAAGUGGUCAGUUAUCCUGUGUGCAAAGACAUAUCCUUCAACUUGCAAACUGGAGAGGAGCUCUACAGCUGUGAAGCUGGGUCCACCACUUACCAAAGGAGAAAUAAGCCUUUUUCUUGAGGUAAAAGCUUUUAAGAUGGUUUCUUGUACUGUUAGCAUUAUGAGAAUCUCUCUAAAGCACAGGCAGAAAUCUCACUAUUAGAAAAUUUGCUGAGGGCUGACAAGGAAUUGCUUCUUGACCAAACUCUAACUAAGCUCCUCUGAGCCCCUUUCUCCACUAGGCCUCAACCUUGUUCUAUAAAAACUUGGACAACACCAACCUAGCUUCUAACAGCUCAAGGCCACAUUCCCAAGAUGACCCUGACCCCCUCAAAGUGUGUCUGGGAAAACUCAAGUCUCCCAAAAAAUUUGUUUGUUUCAACCAAAACCUGAGGAUAGGGCGUCUGUCUCCCAGUCUCUGUGAGAGGAUGGAAUCCCAACUUUGAUAAUUGCCAGCUACCAGGCACAGCUGACUUAAUCACAUUUACACUGAUUAACCCAUUGUAAUUUUUCACUUCCCUGACUCUACUGAGCACCCCCUCGGCUUCCGCCCUUCUCCCUCUUUCUCCCUUUAAAAUUCCCUUUCACCUCUGAACAAAUGGAGGUCGGGUUAAUUUCAUGCUGGACUCCUGCCUAUUACAGUAGUUAUUACUGAUCAAUAUCUGUCCUUACCACUUUAACUAGUGUCUGGUUUUGUUUAUCUUUGAUAGGGGACUUGAGCAAGUUACCAUUGUCUCCCAGGACCUUCUUAUCCUUAUCUAUCAAAAAGCCUGCCAGACUAAGGCAAAGGAGCUGUCCCUUCUAAUUCUUACACUCUGAUUUUGGAGAUAUAUUUUCAGACUUCAUUCCAAAGGACUGAUCACAACCUAUCUGACCGUCUCUAAGUUCACAUCAGAUUUGCAUAUGUUUGUGUGUGUGUCCAUACAUUCACGUGUGUAUUACGAAUUAACAAAGGAGCACCUUAAAUCUCUACUAGUUUUCAUAUUCUCUUUUCUUUCUCUUCUUCCUUCCAAAAAGCUUGAUGAUAGAAAGAGAUGGAUAUGGACAUGGACAUAGAUAUAGAGAGACAUACACACAUACAAACACACACACAAACUAGUGUGCUAGGAACUAGGGACACAAAGAUGGCUUCUAUUAAUAACAAUAGCCAUACUUAGUGAGCAUAUCCUGCAUGUCAAGCAUUGUUCUAAGCCCUUUAUACUAGCACCUAGCAUAGCACCUAACACAGGAGCAUUCAAUAAAUGUGCUGAACAAAUGCUGAAUAUUUGAAAU